rnacentral:rRNA from 1 species
AUACGUAGGGUGCAAGCGUUAAUCGGAAUUACUGGGCGUAAAGCGUGCGCAGGCGGUUUUGUAAGACAGUGGUGAAAUCCCCGGGCUCAACCUGGGAACUGCCAAUUUGACUGCAAGGCUGGAGUGCGGCAGAGGGGGAUGGGAUUCCGCGAGUAGCAGUGGAAUGCGUAGAUAUGCGGAGGAACACCGAUGGCGAAGGCAAUCCCCUGGGCCUGCACUGACGCUCAUGCACGAAAGCGUGGGGAGCAAACAGGAUUAGAUACCCUGGUAGUCCACGCCCUAAACGAUGUCAACUGGUUGUUGGGGAUUUAUUUUCUCAGUAACGAAGCUAACGCGUGAAGUUGACCGCCUGGGGAGUACGGCCGCAAGGUUAAAACUCAAAUGAAUUGACGGGG